GACGAACCGUGCGAACGUUGUUCGGAUUCACUGGGCUUAAAGGGCGCGUAGGCGGCUUCGCAAGUCCGGGGUGAAAGCCCCCAGCCCAACUGGGGAAGUGCCUCGGAGACUGCGGAGCUCGAGCGGGAUAGGGGCAGCUGGAACUUUCGGUGGAGCGGUGAAAUGCGUAGAUAUCGGAAGGAACGCCGGUGGCGAAAGCGAGCUGCUGGAUCCCUCCUGACGCUGAGGCGCGAAAGCCAGGGGAGCAAACGGG
rnacentral:rRNA from 1 species